rnacentral:rRNA from 1 species
GACGAACGCUGGCGGCGUGCUUAACACAUGCAAGUCGAACGGAAAGGCCCUUCUUUUGUGGGGUGCUCGAGUGGCGAACGGGUGAGUAACACGUGAGUAACCUGCCCUUGACUUUGGGAUAACUUCAGGAAACUGGGGCUAAUACCGGAUAGGAGCUCCUGCUGCAUGGUGGGGGUUGGAAAGUUUCGGCGGUUGGGGAUGGACUCGCGGCUUAUCAGCUUGUUGGUGGGGUAGUGGCUUACCAAGGCUUUGACGGGUAGCCGGCCUGAGAGGGUGAACGGCCACAUUGGGACUGAGAUACGGCCCAGACUCCUACGGGAGGCAGCAGUGGGGAAUAUUGCACAAUGGGCGGAAGCCUGAUGCAGCAACGCCGCGUGCGGGAUGACGGCCUUCGGGUUGUAAACCGCUUUCGCCUGUGACGAAGCGUGAGUGACGGUAAUGGGUAAAGAAGCACCGGCUAACUACGUG